AUAAGCUGUGCAAACAGGAGAACGUGAGUCUUUUCAGAAGGUUACGUCUAUUGGUCUCUAACACUAAACUUGUUUCCAUCGAGUAGCACUUAACACGGUUCAUUGUUUGUUUGUAGCUCGGCCUGGUGUCUGUGCGUAUGGUGACCAGUAAAUGGUACACGCAGUUUCAAGUCUACUUUGCUCGCAUAAUAGCGAAUAGUGAAUCCACACUGGUUUGCAGCAACAAGCAACGCUGAUGCUGGCGAGAGCUAUUAGUCAUCCACACUGGUAUAACUUUAUUGGUUCGUCUAAUUCAUCUUGGCUGGUCUUAAAAACGAGGAUUGCCUUCGUCUGUCCAACAAGCCACUGUUUUUCCUGGAAUUAACUAUUUCGUUUUAUUUCAAUUAGGCUAAUGUAUGUGUGUGCCUCGGAAACCUACCACAUCUGUUGAAUGUUUACUGGGAACUUAGGUGGGCCUAGGGGGAAGCCUGCUGGUGGUAACCUGUUAUCUUAAAUGUUUUGUUUGUCUGCCAGUCAUUGUAAUACGUGUUCGGCCUGGGAAUGGUGCAAUAUUUCUUAUGGGGACAGUGCUUCGUUUGCAGUGCUCACUAGUGUGAAGUGUGAAACGCCGUGUCUGUGUGUACGGCCCAUUUGGUGUGAAGUGCCUCUUGCAGAUUGGAGUGUCUUUAGAUUUGUGUAUGUGAAGUAUUUAUUAAUGUAUUUGACUUUAUACACUGUAACUCAUCUGGAAGACCUAUUCAUUCGUUGUUAUUUAUUGUAGAAUUUCAUCCACUGUUGCCUAUGUGGAACAUUUGCUUGUCCUGAUUGCCGAUCAGUGUAUUUAUAGUGUCUGUCUAG